rnacentral:rRNA from 1 species
GUGGAUUAGAUACCCUAGUAGUCCACGCCGUAAACGGUGGGUACUAGGUGUGGGGGACAUUCCACGUUCUCCGUGCCGCAGCUAACGCAUUAAGUACCCCGCCUGGGGAGUACGGCCGCAAGGCUAAAACUCAAAGGAAUUGACGGGGCCCCGCACAAGCGGCGGAGCAUGUUCAUUAAUUCGAUGCAACGCGAAGAACCUUACCUGGGUUUGACAUAUACCGGAAACAUCUGGAGACAGGUGCCCCUUUUUGGUCGGUAUACAGGUGGUGCACGGUCGUCGACAGCU